CAUGCAUGUCUAAGUAUAAGCAAUUAUACCGUGAAACUGCGAAUGGCUCAUUAAAUCAGUUAUCGUUUAUUUGAUAGUACCUUACUACUUGGAUAACCGUGGUAAUUCUAGAGCUAAUACAUGCUGAAAACCCCAACUUCGGGAGGGGUGUAUUUAUUAGAUAAAAAACCAACGCCCUUCGGGGCUUCUUGGUGAUUCAUGAUAACUUCACGGAUCGCAUGGCCUUGCGCCGGCGACGGUUCAUUCAAAUUUCUGCCCUAUCAACUUUCGAUGGUAAGGUAUUGGCUUACCAUGGUUUCAACGGGUAACGGGGAAUUAGGGUUCGAUUCCGGAGAGGGAGCCUGAGAAACGGCUACCACAUCCAAGGAAGGCAGCAGGCGCGCAAAUUACCCAAUCCCGACACGGGGAGGUAGUGACAAUAAAUACUGAUACAGGGCUCUUUUGGGUCUUGUAAUUGGAAUGAGUACAAUUUAAACCUCUUAACGAGGAACAAUUGGAGGGCA
rnacentral:rRNA from 1 species